rnacentral:lncRNA from 1 species
UCCAUAUUGUUAUCAGGCCUACUGAUGGUCCAUAUUGUUAUCAGACCUACUGAUGGUCCCAUAUUGUUAUCAGGCCUACUGAUGGUCCAUAUUGUUAUCAG